rnacentral:misc_RNA from 1 species
GAUGAAGAACGUAGCGAAAUGCGAUAAGUAAUGUGAAUUGCAGAAUUCAGUGAAUCAUCGAAUCUUUGAACGCACAUCGCGCCCUCUGGUAUUCCGGGGGGCAUGCCUGUUCGAGCGUCAUUAUAACCACUCAAGCUCUCGCUUGGUAUUGGGGUUCGCGGUUUCGCGGCCCCUAAAAUCAGUGGCGGUGCCUGUCGGCUCUACGCGUAGUAAUACUUCUCGCGAUUGAGUUCGAUAGGUCUACUUGCCAGUAACCCCCAAUUUUUACAGGUUGACCUCGGAUCAGGUAGGGAUACCCGCUGAACUUAAGCAUAUCAAUAAGCGGAGGA